rnacentral:rRNA from 1 species
UGGGGAAUUUUGGACAAUGGGCGAAAGCCUGAUCCAGCAAUGCCGCGUGUGUGAAGAAGGCCUUCGGGUUGUAAAGCACUUUUGUCCGGAAAGAAAUCCUUGGCUCCAAUACAGUCGGGGGAUGACGGUACCGGAAGAAUAAGCACCGGCUAACUACGUGCCAGCAGCCGCGGUAAUACGUAGGGUGCAAGCGUUAAUCGGAAUUACUGGGCGUAAAGCGUGCGCAGGCGGUUUGCUAAGACCGAUGUGAAAUCCCCGGGCUCAACCUGGGAACUGCAUUGGUGACUGGCAGGCUAGAGUAUGGCAGAGGGGGGUAGAAUUCCACGUGUAGCAGUGAAAUGCGUAGAGAUGUGGAGGAAUACCGAUGGCGAAGGCAGCCCCCUGGGCCAAUACUGACGCUCAUGCACGAAAGCGUGGGGAGCAAACAGGAUUAGAUACCCUGGUAGUCCACGCCCUAAACGAUGUCAACUAGUUGUUGGGGAUUCAUUUCCUUAGUAACGUAGCUAACGCGUGAAGUUGACCGCCUGGGGAGUACGGUCGCAAGAUUAAAACUCAAAGGAAUUGAC